GCUCUCCAAACAAUCAAAUCUAAUGGCAUCCAGAACGUUCUCGCCCUUCGCGGUGACCCUCCUCAUGGCCAGGAUAAGUUCGUUCAGGUUGAAGGUGGCUUCGCUUGCGCUCUCGAUCUGGUGAAACACAUCAGAUCCAAAUAUGGCGACUACUUUGGCAUUACUGUUGCUGGUUACCCAGAGGCUCAUCCGGAUAUGAUCGGAAGCGAUGGGGUGGCUACACCUGAGAAUUACCAGAAAGAUCUCGAGUAUUUGAAGCGAAAGGUUGAUGCUGGAGCUGAUCUAAUCAUCACUCAACUGUUCUAUGAUACUG
rnacentral:misc_RNA from 1 species